rnacentral:lncRNA from 1 species
UAGAGUUCUUCGUACGCCUCUCUCGGGGCUGGGUGUGGGAUAGUAGGGUUACCCAUAGAUGAUUAGUGUUUUAGCUUAUGUCCCCUUAUGGUUGGUAGUAUGGUAGUUACGGUUUGUUAUUAUUGCAUGCGACAGUAUUUAUGUUUCUUAUGUUUACAUAAUUAUUUACGUUAUUUCUGCGGGAUUUACUAAUACUCUAUUAUUUUGUUUUGUCUUGUUUUUGU